rnacentral:rRNA from 1 species
UACGUAGGUGGCGAGCGUUGUCCGGAUUUACUGGGCGUAAAGGAUGCGUAGGCGGAUAUUUAAGUGAGAUGUGAAAUACCCGAGCUUAACUUGGGUGCUGCAUUUCAAACUGGAUAUCUAGAGUGUGGGAGAGGAGAAUGGAAUUCCUAGUGUAGCGGUGAAAUGCGUAGAGAUUAGGAAGAACACCAGUGGCGAAGGCGGCCCGCUGGGCAGUGGCUGACGCUGAAGCGCGACAGCGUGGGGAGCAAACAGG